CGCCGCUGUCCGUUCAGCACUACGCGGAGCCGGGACACGCUGCAGCCGGUUGUUUGCAGAUGCAGAAAGAGCAUCAGAGACUGUUAGUGUAUUGUGGAGGUGUGUACUGAGACACAGCUUUACACCGUCAGGAUGUUCAGUAAACUCAGCAACCUAGGUCUACACCAAUGGUUCUUUCAAAGGAUCUGGCUCCAUCUUUUCUCUGGCUGCAGGAUAGGUCUGACAGCCCCCAUCACUCUCAGGGUUGGAGUGGACCACAGCUGGACUUCUUGGUUGCAUGGGAGAAGGUAUUGAGCUCAUAGGGUAAGCUCUGCUGUCAGUCAGUGCUGAGAUUGCACAGUGUAACCAGACGCCAUUUCUAAGCUGGUGAAACAAGAACACAUGGUGACUUCUGUUCAACUCUUCCCUGUACAUGCCACCUUCCUACUUCGUAUUCAGAAAAUAAUUUGACUAUACAGUCAGGACUAAAAAAAAACCAAAUAAAAAGAAGUAAAGCAAGACCAAGUUCUGCAAGUCGAGGUUGAAAGAGGAUUAUGCAUGGGAAGCUCCCAGCUAAACAGAAAUACAGGGCUGUUCUGAAGCAUCCUACUCAUGAAUCCCCUGCAUUCAAGCUUUCAAUGUGUCCUUUGAAUUUAUCUCCACACAUUUCCACGACAGCCAUUUUGCUCAGUUUUCUGGUUAUAUUUGUAAUUACUCCUCUAUAACUGACCUUCAAGGCCUUUUACACAAUCCUGGAUGUGACUGUGUUCUUCCUGUGCUGGAUCAGACUGUGUGCCUUGGGCUUACUGUCUCUUUUCUGCAUAAAAUACUCUGUAUUCAUUGCUCUCAUUUCCCUUUAUACCCUUUCACCUUUCCCCAUGUGAAUCUUGAGUCUGAAGGUAUGGGGAAGGGACCACAUCCUAUUGCUGCAUACAUUAGCUGGAGAGCAGUCAGAAGAUCUGUGCUGCAGCACAAGCCUGUCCUGGGAGGAUGCACCAGAGUACGGGUGAUUUGGGUUGUUUCAGACUAAAUUUGUCUCUUUGAUGCAGUGACUCACCAUGGUGAGGCAGGUCUGGUGAAUGACCUGCUGGCACCCAGGAAGCUCUGUCUUCACUGGAGAGCCCACCCCGCCACUCAGAAAUCCCUUGCUUUUCUUCAAGACCAUCUUUGCCUGAGCAUCUUUUUACCAAGAGAUACUCCCACACAAUUGUUCCCCUAACUGCUGUGUAGGGAGAUUAUUUAUGGCUCAAGCUGUGCUGAGGCCCCACCUCCCACGUCGCCAGGACAGGUUUUAUCAUGCUGUCAUUUCUGUCUUCAUCUUGA